AACGAACGCUGGCGGCAGGCUUAACACAUGCAAGUCGAGCGCCCCGCAAGGGGAGCGGCAGACGGGUGAGUAACGCGUGGGAAUCUACCCAUCUCUACGGAAUAACGCAUGGAAACGUGUGCUAAUACCGUAUACGUCCUACGGGAGAAAGAUUUAUCGGAGAUGGAUGAGCCCGCGUUGGAUUAGCUAGUUGGUGGGGUAAAGGCCUACCAAGGCGACGAUCCAUAGCUGGUCUGAGAGGAUGAUCAGCCACACUGGGACUGAGACACGGCCCAGACUCCUACGGGAGGCAGCAGUGGGGAAUAUUGGACAACGGGCGCAAGCCUGAUCCAGCCAUGCCGCGUGAGUGAUGAAGGCCCUAGGGUUGUAAAGCUCUUUCACCGGUGAAGAUAAUGACGGUAACCGGAGAAGAAGCCCCGGCUAACUUCGUGCCAGCCGCCGCAGUAACAC
rnacentral:rRNA from 1 species